GAAAUUUAUGGAUGGUGGCUGUUGCUGACUAGUGUUUCUAGUAUGUGCACGCCACACCUUCAAUCCCACUUACACCUGUGCACCUUCUGUAAUAGAUCUAUGUGGAUACGGAGAUGUGAAAGUUUGCGCUCUCCUACUCUGUUGAAGCACACUCUACUACGUUUUUUUUACCCCCCCCCACAAUAGUCGUUGGAUGUUUUUUUUUUAUUCUUAUGAUAAAAACUUCUUUCACCAACGGAUCUCUUGGCUCUCCCAUCAAUAAAGAACGUAACGAAUUACUAUAUGGAAUGUGAAUUGCAUAAUUCAGUGAAUCAUCCAAUCUUUGAACCCUGCUUGCGCUCUUUGGUAUUCCAAAAAGCAUGCCUGUUUGAGUGGCAUGACUCUCUCAAAUGCAAUAAUUUUUAUUAAUUGGUGUGUUUGGACUUGGAAGUCUGUCCGCGCAAACCCACUCUUCUUGUAUGUAUUAGCUGGGAUUUAUAUGGAUGGAUCCUUGGAGUGAUAACUAUCUACGCCUUGAACUGCCUGCACAGUCUGCUUCAAAUCGCCUCCUACAGACAAUAUUUGAUCCGACCGACCACCAAUCAGGAAUGACUACCCGCUGAACUUAUAUCUACCAUAGGGGGGAAGGAA
rnacentral:rRNA from 1 species